rnacentral:rRNA from 1 species
UACGUAGGAGGCAAGCGUUGUCCGGAAUUAUUGGGCGUAAAGAGCGCGUAGGCGGUCCGAUAAGUCGGCUGUGAAAGUCAGGGGCUCAACCCUUGGAAGCCGGCCGAUACUGUCGGACUAGAGUCCGGAAGAGGCGAGUGGAAUUCCCGGUGUAGCGGUGAAAUGCGCAGAUAUCGGGAGGAACACCAAUGGCGAAGGCAGCUCGCUGGGACGGUACUGACGCUGAGGCGCGAAAGCGUGGGGAGCAAACAGG